AUUGAACGCUGGCGGCAGGCCUAACACAUGCAAGUCGAGCGAGCGGCGGACGGGUGAGUAAUGUCUGGGAAACUGCCUGAUGGAGGGGGAUAACUACUGGAAACGGUAGCUAAUACCGCAUACUAUCAGCUGUGCCCAGUUGGGCGUAGCUAGUAGGUGGGGUAACGGCUCACCUAGGCGACGAUCCCUAGCUGGUCUGAGAGGAUGACCAGCCACACUGGAACUGAGACACGGUCCAGACUCCUACGGGAGGCAGCAGUGGGGAAUAUUGCGCAAUGGGCGCAAGCCUGAUGCAGCCAUGCCGCGUGUGUGAAGAAGGCCUUCGGGUUGUAAAGCACUUUCAGCAGGGAGGCGGUACCCGAAGAAGAAGCACCGGCUAACUCCGUGCCAGCAGCCGCGGUAAUAC
rnacentral:rRNA from 1 species